UGGAUAGAUUAUUGUAUUCGACUGUAUUCACGACGUGAAAUAGGGGAUAACACUGUUUUUAAAACGGAAAGUGAAUCAAUUAACAUAAUAGACUCCU
rnacentral:pre_miRNA from 1 species